rnacentral:rRNA from 1 species
UACGAAGGGUGCAAACGUUGCUCGGAAUUAUUGGGCGUAAAGCGCACGUAGGCGGCUCCGCAAGUCCCAUGUGAAAGCCCACGGCUUAACCGUGGAAGUGCAUGGGAAACUGCAGAGCUUGAGUACUAAAGAGGAUCGCGGAAUUCCCGGUGUAGAGGUGAAAUUCGUAGAUAUCGGGAGGAACACCAGUGGCGAAGGCGGCCCUCUGGACGGUGACUGACGCUGAGACGCGAAAGCGUGGGGAGCAAACAGG